rnacentral:lncRNA from 1 species
UUGUUUUACUGGAAUUUCUUGUCUACUUAUGGGGCGGUAAGUAAUUAUCUAAUGAACAAAAUUAUUCCCCUCAAAUACGAAUGCUAUUGUUUUACCUCCCAUUAUGUACAAUAUAUAGUGAAGAUAUAUAUUUUUACACAUGGUAAAGAUUUUCAACGACAUAAAGAAACAGAAGAAUUCUUCAUUCAACCUAUACUGCUUUAAUUUC